AACGAACGCUGGUGGCGUGCUUAACACAUGCAAGUCGAACGAGAAAGUUUCCUUCGGGGAAUUAGUAAAGUGGCGCAAGGGUGAGUAUCACGUGAAUAAUCUGCCCUCGAGAUCGGGAUAACAUGGUGAAAACUAUGCUAAUACCGGAUAAGACCACAUUUCAAAAGAAAUGUGGGAAAAGGAGUCUCAACCUUUACUUGAGGAUGAGUUCGCGCAACAUUAGCUUGUUGGUGAGAUAAAAGCUCACCAAGGCUACGAUGUUUAGCCGGCCUGAGAGGGUGAACGGCCACACUGGAACUGAGACACGGUCCAGACUCCUACGGGAGGCAGCAGUGGGGAAUAUUGCGCAAUGGGCGAAAGCCUGACGCAGCAACGCCGUGUGAGCGAUG
rnacentral:rRNA from 1 species